rnacentral:rRNA from 1 species
AUGCAGUCUCGCACCGCCGCCGCCGCAGAACCUAGUCGUAGAAGCCAUGGAGUCGUGGUCCACCCCGCCCACGGCGAGCCUACAAUGACCAGAUCAGUCCUUGGAUCUCGCAUCUUUCACGGCCGGAGCCGCCUGCUCCAGCAUCACAGGACCAACGCGCAGGGCCGGCGCGCGUCCAACACACCACGGAUCUGGCCAGGAUUAACAGAAGACAAUGCAGCAGAAGACAAUGCAAAAGAAGGAUCAACCGAAGACAGUGUAAAAGCACAGAGUGAUGAGAACGAUGUGUCAUCCCAUUUUCAGAAAAACGAGGGACAUAGCCUUGUGAAGUUGGACAACCGCCAGUUCACAUAUAGAGAGUUGGAGGUCAUAACAAACAACUUCCAGCGAGUGCUCGGUCGAGGAGGGUUUGGUUUUGUCUAUGAUGGCUUCUUAGAUGAUGGUACUCAGGUGGCAGUCAAACUACGGUCUCAGUCGUCCAACCAAGGUGUCACGGAAUUCUUGGUAGAGGCUCAGAACUUAACAAAGAUUCAUCACAAAAACAUUGUCUCCUUGAUUGGUUAUUGCAAGGAGGGAGACUGUUUAGCCCUUGUCUACGAGCAUAUGUCAGGAGGAAACCUCCAAGAUAAACUCAGAGAUCCCAAUGUUGAAUGCUUAACCUGGAGACAGAGGAUCCGCAUUGCGUUGGAAUCCUCACAAGCGAUCGAGUAUCUGCACAAUGCAUGCAGCCCACCCUUCUUACAUCGGGACGUGAAGACAUCGAACAUCCUACUCAAUGCAAAUAUUAAGGCCAAGGUUGCUGAUUUUGGCUUGCUGAAGGCUUUUGAUCAUGAUGAUGAUACACACGUAUCCACGGCCAGGGUGGUUGGCACAUACGGCUACCUUGCCCCUGAGUAUGCGUCUACCAUGCAGCUAACACAAAAGAGUGACGUGUACAGUUUCGACGUGGUGCUGCUUGAGGUGAUCACGGGGCAGCCGCCCAUUUUACGAAGCCCGGAGCCUGCUAAUAUCAUCGAGUGGGCAUCCCAACGCCUCCGGCGUGGAAACAUCCAGGGUGUGGUGGAUGCACGCAUGCAAGGUGACUACGACGUGAAUAGCGUGUGGAAGGCUGCAGACAUUGCGCUCAAAUGCACAGCAGGAACUCCUAGACGGCGGCCAACAAUGGCAAACGUGGUGGUGCACCUGCAAGAGUGCCUCGAGCUUGAAGAGGCCCGCAUCAACGGUGGCACGAAGGACAGAUCUUACAGUGUGGCAGCAGCGACGGCUCCAACUCAAAGUAUAAGACGUACGGCGUUGACCAGUCCACUGAUAUUGUCCAAAGCAGCAACACGUUCAACAUGGAGCACAACUUUGGCGGGGCGCUGGCCACCGGUCCUGCUACACGGUGAUGUCAAUGAGGAGUCCUUUGCUAUUAGGCCACCACUGCAGUUCUUCAAAUUGUUUUGUGUGACAAAAUGCCUUAUGUUUAAAUAA